rnacentral:lncRNA from 1 species
GAAAGAAUUCAUUUACGUGGUUUGGUCCAAGACCAAGGGUGAACAUUACGGACCCUGAAAAAAUAAGAGAAAUACUUAACAAAUUUAAUGACUUCCAGAAGGUACGUACCAAUCCACUGCUUAAUUUGCUUGUAAGCGGCCUUGCUAACCUCGAAGGAGACCGAUGGAGCAAGCGUAGAAAAAUCAUAAACCCUGCAUUUCAUCAAGAUAAGUUGAAGGUAUAGAAUAGUGAUGGGUACUCAAGACUUUACAGAAAACAUCAUACUUAAACCUGAGCUUUUCUGAUUUAGAAAUAAUUGGAUGCAGAAUAUGUUGCCAGCAUUUUAUCAAAGUUGUAGUGACAUGUUAAGAAAAUGGGAGAAGAUGGUGUGUACAGAAGGAUACAGUGAGUUAGAUGUGUGGCCUUAUCUCGUAGAUUUGACAAGAGAUGUGAUUUCCCGAUCUGCUUUUGGAAGCAGCUUCGAAGAAGGCAAACGAAUUUUCCAAUUACUAGAGGACCAACUCGUUCUCACAAUCAAAUUAAUACAAACUGUUUACAUUCCAUGAUGGAGGUAACCCUCAACUUAAUUUACUUGAAAAAGGUUGCAAAUGUUGGAAUUCGCUAAAUUCGUGUUUGUUUUCUUGAAGGUUUUUGCCAACAAAGACAAACAGGGAGAUGAAGAUGAAACACAGAGACAUAAAAGAGUCGCUUAGGGAAAUGAUAAAGAGAAGAGAGAAGGCAAUUAAAGCAGGGGAAGAGAGCAAUGAGGACUUGUUGGACAUACUUGUGGAAUCCAAUAUCAGAGAAAUGGAAGCAAAGAAUAUGGGGAUGAGCAUUGAGGAUGUGAUUGAGGAAUGCAAGCUGUUUUACUUUGCUGGCCAAGAGACCACUUCGGUCUUACUGGUGUGGACUAUGGUUUUAUUAGCAAGGUAUCCCGAUUGGCAAAGUAAAGCAAGAGAGGAGGUUUUGCAUGUUUUGGGUGACAGUAAACCUGAUGCUGAUGGCCUUAAUCGUCUCAAAGUUGUAAGUCCCUAGCAUGUCUUUUGAAGGUCCGAUCAAUGAGGUCGACAACUCAAAAACUUGGUUUUUUUUGUUUCGCUAAUUCUACAGGUAACAAUGAUAUUGUACGAGGUUCUAAGGUUGUACCCACCAGUGGUUGAGCUAGGACGUUCCGUUCCAAAAGAAAUAAAACUGGGGAAUUUGUUGUUACCAGCAGGAGCAGAAGUUUCGGUUCCGAUCCUGCAGAUCCACCAUGACAAAGAUCUUUGGGGUGACGACGCACGGGAAUUUAAGCCAGAGCGGUUGGCGGAAGGGGUUUCCAAAGCAACAAAGAGUCAAGUCACGUUUCUGCCAUUCGGAUGGGGUCCUAGGAUCUGUAUUGGCCAAAAUUUUGCCAUGAUGGAAGCCAAAAUGGCGAUGGCUAUGAUUCUCCAACGCUUCUGGUUCGAGCUUUCCCCUUCCUAUGCUCACUCUCCUUACAGCAGGGCAACUCUUCGUCCACAGCAUGGUGCACAGAUAGUUUUACAUAAACUUGGCUCUAAUUGAAUUGUUAUGUAAACAGAUCUUUUUGAAAAUAUAGCGUUUUAGUGUAUCGUCAAAGUCCGGUGUCUGUAAUGGUACAAUUCCGAUGCAUGAAUAGUAAAUUUUAAGAUGUUUGGUUAAGUCCGAAAUAAUAUGCAGAAAUUGAGUGUCUUGAAUGGAUGUAGUAUUUAAUGGUGGACAUAGUUGAGGGAUUAAUGUGGUAAUUAUCGAACAAAUAAUUGCAUAUGGUACAAAGACUUAUAUGGAAAUUAGAGCGGGGGGAGUAGAAAAUGACUACUUUGCUUUGGGCAUCAAUUUAGAAAGAUUUAAAGUACAAAUGUAUUAUUAGUUUAAAGGAUUUGUUUUAAAGAAGGAAUGACAAUUAAACCUCAUGGUUGAUUUGUGGAAGGGAACCGAUGAUGGGAUGAUUAUUCUUAGUGGUAAAAAAAAAACUAUUAAGGAGGUUAUUAUACUUGUUAUCAAUUUCUCAAAAUUUGAAUGGGUUUAAGUCAGAUUAUAUCGAGCUUGUUAGAUGAGUUCACGGACCAAGCUUGCAUGAUAAUGGCUGCUUACAGAAAUGUAUCUAUAGUUUUCUACAAAGUCAUAUGUGAAAUUAUGCAUUGGUACCGCAUAAACAUGUUUUAUGUCUAGAAUAUUAUACGUGUCUAUGUGCAUGGAAUCUACCUAGUAUAUCAUAUCAAUGAACAGUAUCAAUGGUGGACCUCAAAAGUAUUUUUGGGGGAUCAGAAUUAAACUGUAUGUUUUUAUGAAAGUAAAAAUUUAAUUUCACUAUUUUAUAGUCAAUUUCUUUUUAAUUUUUGAAGGAUUAAAUCAAAUUUUUAUAAAUUUUUAGGAGGUUGAAGUACAAUUUUAUCAUUACUAAUUUAAAAUUUUAUAAAUUAUAAAAAAUAUAAAUAAAAAAUUUUAUAUUUUAGGAUAGCCAAGGCUCCUGCCAACUCUAACUCACUGAAUAGUAUAAAUAAAUAAAUACCAUCAUCUAAAAUAUGGGUAAGUGUCCAAAAUAUGAUUUUGGUGAAAAUAUGUAGGGUUGGUCUCAUGGAAGUGUAAAGACAAGAACCCCGCUAAUGUAUGGGAUGUGUAAAGUUGAAUCUAGGGAGCAAAUAGGAGUGAAUCAUUUUGGUAACAUUUGGACAAGAAACAUAAUGAACAAAAUGAAAGGAGAGGAAGCUAGUAAAAGAUUUUUUUGGGUCAUAUAAUUUGUUUGGCAUAUAUUUUUAUAAUUUUUAAAUAUCAUUUUGGAGUUGAAUUAUAACUUUUUUUUAUAUAUUAUCUUAAAAUUUUAUAAAAUUUAAGGAGUUAAAACGUAAUUAUUCCAUGGGUCAGAGCUGCCCUCGCUUUGCAUUUCUUUGAGAUUCAGCCUUAUCUCAAUUGAGGGUUGAGUAGAAAGAUUUGGUGGAGCAAGCAAAGCUAUCAAUCAAGGUUGGAGAAAGCUUAGGAGGUCACAAUGCAUAAUUAUUUAAAUGUAAUUCUAAUAUUUAAAUAAAAUUUAUUAAUAUAAUAUCAGCAAGUGUUAAAUAUAAUGAUCAGAUACCAUUAUAUUUUUAGAAAGAGAAAAUAUGUUUAAACCUUAAAAACGGCGUUACUAAAAAUAAUAAUCACAAAUCUUGAAAUAUAAAAAAUAAAUUUUUUAAUAUAAUUAAAAUUUAAUUUGAAAGCCGAGCUGGAUAAAAUUCUAAUUUUAGAUAAUGGUACCAACAACAAAUCAAUAUUUAAAUUAAAAUUAAUCUAAAUUUAAUAUAAUCAAAUUGGACUCUAAUAUUAAAUUUAAUAUAAUCAAGGUUCAUGAACUUUAUACCCUAUGCUUUACGUAAUUGAAAAAAAAAUCAUUGGACAUAAAAGUCUACGAAAAGUUUCACUAUAUUAAUAAAUAAAUAAAUAAAAAAUAUUGCUACAAGAUUACAACACAAAGUUACAAUAAGAGCUUAUAACUUAACAAAGGCUAUCAAUAAAUAAUCUCAAACAAACUAAAGAGAAAUAUUGAGAGUCCCACCAAAUAGUGAUUGCCUUUAAAAGUUAAAAACUCGAAGUUAUAGUAUCUCAAAUGAAAUUAAACCAUGAACAUUAAAUUUUUCGAGUCUACUAGCUACUGUAAAAAAUUGAGCUCCAACGGACAACAAAUGAACCUUUGAUCGAAGAAAAUACGAAAAUUAGUCUCGGUAAAUCAAGCUGCCAAACUUACUUUUUAUCUUAUCUUUAAUUUGUAAUAAAAUUCAAAAUUAAGGUUUUGUUUGUUUCACUUAGAACAACUUUCAAAAAAUUAAUUUUGGAAAAUGGAUUGAUUUUUCGAAAUAGAUGAUAUUUUAUUGUGUAAAAAUUUUAUUUGUUGUUUGAUGAACUUUUUUUUAAAUCAUUUUUUUAGAAUUAUUUUUAGUGAAACAAAUAUAUCAUAAAUAUAUUUGUUACAAAAUAUUAUAUUAGUAUUUUCUUUUGACAAUUAAAGUUUAUUUUAUGAUAAGACAAUAUUUUAUAAUAAUUAAUAUCAUAUAUACUUAAUAAUAAAUCAUGUCUAAUUAAAAUUUAAGUUAAAUUAAAUAUAUUAAUAAAGCUACAUAUAAUCAUAUUUUAUAUAAUUAAAAUAUUAAUAUAAAUAUUUUUCAAUAAGAUAUUAAAGAAUAUUUAAAAUUUAAAUUUAUUAUUACUAAAAUUAAUUAUUAAAAUAAAAAUGUAAUAUUAAAUAAUUUAUCUAAUGAUAAGUUAUAUUAAUAAUUUAUUAUAUCAUUAAAUAAAAAUAAUUAAAUAUGUAUGUUUAAUAAUAUUAUGUUAUAAUAUUCAUUAUUAAUAUCUUAAUAUUCUUAAACAGCCGUGUCUCAAAGAUGGUUGUGAUGGUGAUGUGAUGAUGCAGCCCCCCUUCUUACAAUUACAAUAAUUUUUAGUGCAAUAAUUAAAGUUGCUGAGUGGUAAAGUAAACUUCUUUUGACUGAGAUGCAUGUAAUAUAUGGAUGUUGAGGUUUUAGACUGCGCCAUCUUUAAAGGGGUUAAAUUAUAUAUUUAUAUAAUAUGAUUAUUGUUUAUGAAUAUAAUAUUAUAGAUAAGUUUUUAUACAUAUUAAUAUGUAUUUUAUUUUAAUGUUAAUAUGUAGUUUUUUAGAUGUGGAUUCACCUAUAUAAUGAUAUGAACUCAUUAUGCAGUCUCAUGAAAUAUGCAAACACAUAUAGUGUAAAUAUAAAGUAUGAACCACCAAAAGUACAGAUCAACACCUAAUUGAAUAAUUGGAUAACAGAUAGGUAAUAAUAAAUAUCAUUCACUAUCCCCUCUUGUUUUAAUUUAUUUUAUUUCCAGUGAGUUAUUUUUUUUAUGAUAAAUUUGCAACAAAUGUUUUUAUCAUUAUUUUGUUGGUAAAUGAUAAUAAGAUUAAAUUUACUUUCGUAAGCUCCUUCAAUUCUUUGGAGUUAGUGGUUUUUUAUUCUGAUCUUUUUUUCUUAUUAAAUUUUUUAUAAUAAAUGUGUUUAUAGAUGAGGUUAGAUUAUAAUUGAAUUAUUUUAUAGCAUUAACAUAAUUUAGAUGGAUUAAAAUUUAUUCUACUAAAAAUAUAAAUUUAAAAUUUUACUUCAAUUUAUCUUAAUUUAUAAAUGAUGAAUUUAAAUUUACUUUUUCCCCAUUAUAUUCAAUUUUCCACAUAAUAUUUGGCCUAGAACAAAAACUAGAACAAUAAAACAAAUAUAAACUAUGCUACAAAGAGUAUACAGCUACAGAAAGCUGAAAUGUUUUCCAAAAAUUAUAUUGUUAACUUUUAAAAAAAAUAUUUUAGCUAUUUAUCAUCAUGAAGAAAAAAGAUACAGUCAUGCACCUGGCCUCAUGCUUCAACACCUCAACCUAGAUUCUCAUCACCUGUAUUUAUCAUCGAUUCAGAUCUUUAUUUUUACUAUAUUCUAGAUCUCCCUAUAAAUAUAUCUUCAAACUUCCUUUGGUUAAGUUCAUUCAUAGAUGGGUGAGUAAACUUGAGCUUCAGCUUUCCACAAACACCUUAAUUUGAAGACACUGUUCUCUCAUGCUAAAAACCACAUGGACGUUUACCAUGUAAUUAGAGAGUUGGUUUCAUUGCUUGUUGUUGGGUUAUUAAUGAUAUGGGGAUGGAGAGCUUUAAACUGGGUAUGGCUGGCUCCAAAGAGGCUCGAAAGGUGCUUGAGACAACAGGGUUUAGCAGGGAAUUCUUACAGGUUCCUUUCUGGUGACAUAAAAGAGCUCUUCACUAUGAGCAGACAAACAAGAGCCAAACCUAUGCCUCUUAGUGAUGAUAUUGGGCCUUAUGUUGUUCCUUUUCAACAUCAAACUGUCAACCAGUAUGGUAUGUUUUUUUGUUUAAUCUGCAAUUUAUGAUAAUUCUUUUUUAUUUAUGUAUGGAAUUUAUUGGGAGGAAAUGCAGGAAAGAAUUCAUUUACGUGGUUUGGUCCAAGACCAAGGGUGAACAUUACGGACCCUGAAAAAAUAAAAGAAAUACUUAACAAAUUUAAUGACUUCCAGAAGGUACGUACCAAUCCACUUGUUCAUUUGCUUGUAAGCGGCCUUGUUAACCUCGAAGGAGACCGAUGGAGCAAGCAUAGAAAAAUCAUAAACCCUGCAUUUCAUCAAGAUAAGUUGAAGGUAUAGAAUAGUGAUGGGUACUCAGACUUUAAAGAAAACAUCAUACUUAAACCUAUGCUUUUCUGACUUAGAAAAUAAUUGGAUGCAGAAUAUGUUGCCAGCAUUUUAUCAAAGUUGUAGUGACAUGUCAAGCAAAUGGGAGAAGAUGGUGUGUACAGAAGGAUACUGUGAGUUAGAUGUGUGGCCUUAUCUCGUAGAUUUGACAAGAGAUGUGAUUUCCCGAUCUGCUUUUGGAAGCAGCUUCGAAGAAGGCAAACGAAUUUUCCAAUUACCAGAGGACCAACUCGUUCUCACAAUCAAAUUAAUACAAACUGUUUACAUUCCAGGAUGGAGGUAACCCUCAACUUAAUUUACUUGAAAAAGGUUGCAAAUGUUGGAAUUCGCUAAAAGCGUGUUUGUUUUCUUGAAGGUUUUUGCCAACAAAGACAAACGGGGAGAUGAAGAUGAAAUACAAAGACAUAAAAGAGUCGCUUAGGGAAAUGAUAAAGAGAAGAGAGAAGGCAAUUAAAGCAAGGGAAGAGAGCAAUGAGGACUUGUUGGACAUACUUGUGGAAUCCAAUAUCAGAGAAAUGGAAGCAAAGAAUAUGGGGAUGAGCAUUGAGGAUGUGAUUGAGGAAUGCAAGCUGUUUUACUUUGCUGGCCAAGGGACCACUUCGGUCUUGCUGGUGUGGACUAUGGUUUUAUUAGCAAGGCAUCCCGAUUGGCAAAGUAAAGCAAGAGACGAGGUUUUGCAUGUUUUGGGUGACAGUAAACCUGAUGCUGAUGGCCUUAAUCGUCUCAAAGUUGUAAGUCCCUAGCAUGUCUUUUGAAGGUCCGAUCAAUGAGGUCGACAACUCAAAAACUUGGUUUCUUUGUUUCGCUAAUUCUACAGGUAACAAUGAUAUUGUACGAGGUUCUAAGGUUGUACCCACCAGUGGUUGAGCUAGGACGUUCCGUUCCAAAAGAAAUAAAACUGGGAAAUUUGUUGUUACCAGCAGGAACAGACGUUUUGGUUCCAAUCCUGCAGAUCCACCAUGACAAAGAUCUUUGGGGCGACGACGCACGGGAAUUUAAGCCAGAGCGGUUCACGGAAGGAGUU